rnacentral:rRNA from 1 species
GACGAACGCUGGCGGCGUGCUUAACACAUGCAAGUCGAACGAAGUGGCGAACGGGUGAGUAACGCGUAAUCAACCUGCCCAUCAGAGGGGGACAACAGUUGGCAACGACUGCUAAUACCGCAUCCUGCAGGAGGGGCAUGCGUGUGAUUAGCUAGAUGGAGGGGUAACGGCCUACCAAGGCGAUGAUCAGUAGCCGGUCUUAGCGGAUGAUCGGCCAAAAUGGGACUGGGACACGGCCCAGACUCCGACUGGAGGCAGCAGUGGGGAAUCUUCCGAAAUGGACGAAAUUCUGACGGAGCAACGCCGCGUGAGUGAUGACGGCCUUCGGGUUGUAAAGCUCUGUUAAUCGGGACGCGGUACCGGAAGAGAAAGCCACGGCUAACUACGUGCCAGCCGCCGCGGUAAUUC